rnacentral:lncRNA from 1 species
UUAAAAUUGGACGAUGAAGAAAUUACCGUCGAUUUCUAAGGCCUCCCAUGUUAAUAAGACGGAUGUUUAUUUUUAAGUUAUUGUCUAAUUCAUUUACUUUUAGUCAUAUUUAUUUAGUACUAACACUUUUACUAAGUGUCUUUACAGGUACCCGAAGCUGCUUCUCAUUGAAGCUAUUCGAACAAAGUUCGAACAAUAUUUUGAUUCAUUAUCGUAUUUUAUUGACGAUAGACAAAUCUAGGAUGUUUCUUAUAUUAUUUUAUUUUAUUACUUGUGUAUCUUGUAUGUUUGUUUUAUUUGUAUAUUAUUUUUAUUUCCUCCUCAAUUUGAAAAAAAUAAACUCAGUCGGGAC